rnacentral:rRNA from 1 species
UACAGAGGUCUCAAGCGUUGUUCGGAUUCAUUGGGCGUAAAGGGUGUGUAGGUGGCGCCGUAAGUCGGGUGUGAAAUUUCGGAGCUUAACUCCGAAACUGCAUUCGAUACUGCGGUGCUUGAGGACUGGAGAGGAGACUUGAAUUCAUGGUGUAGCAGUGAAAUGCGUAGAGAUCAUGAGGAAGACCAGUGGCGAAGGCGGGUCUCUGGACAGUUCCUGACGCUGAGGAGCGAAAGCGUGGGUAGCAAACAGG